UACGGGGGGUGCGAGCGUUGUCCGGAAUCAUUGGGCGUAAAGGGCGCGUAGGUGGCGGGACAAGCGUGCGGUGAAAGCCUGGGGCUCAACCCCGGGUCGGCCGUGCGAACUGUUUUGCUUGAGCACUGUAGAGGCAGGCGGAAUUCCGGGUGUAGCGGUGGAAUGCGUAGAGAUCCGGAAGAACACCGGUGGCGAAGGCGGCCUGCUGGGCAGUAGCUGACACUGAGGCGCGACAGCGUGGGGAGCAAACAGG
rnacentral:rRNA from 1 species